AACGAACGCUGGCGGCAGGCCUAACACAUGCAAGUCGAACGCCGUAGCAAUACGGAGUGGCAGACGGGUGAGUAACACGUGGGAACGUACCCUUCGGUUCGGGAUAACUCAGGGAAACUUGAGCUAAUACCGGAUACGUCCGAGAGGAGAAAGAUUUAUCGCCGAGGGAUCGGCCCGCGUCUGAUUAGCUUGUUGGUGAGGUAACGGCUCACCAAGGCGACGAUCAGUAGCUGGUCGAGAGGAUGAUCAGCCACAUUGGGACUGAGACACGGCCCAAACUCCUACGGGAGGCAGCAGUGGGGAAUAUUGGACAAUGGGCGCAAGCCUGAUCCAGCCAUGCCGCGUGGGUGAUGAAGGCCUUAGGGUUGUAAAGCCCUUUCGGCGGGGAAGAUAAUGACGGUACCCGCAGAAGAAGCCCCGGCUAACUUCGUGCCAGCCGCCGCCGUAAU
rnacentral:rRNA from 1 species